GGGCUCUCGCAUCGCUGAAGAACGCAGCGAAAUGCGAUAAGUAAUGUGAAUUGCAGAAUUCAGUGAACCAUCGAAUCUUUGAACGCACCUUGCGCUCCUUGGUAUUCCGAGGAGCAUGCCUGUUCGAGUGUCGUGAAUUCAUCAACUCGCUUCCUUUGCGGAAGCGCAGCUUGGAAAUGGAGCUCGUCGGCGUAAAGUCGACUGCUCUGAAAUGCAUUAGCCCCUGCAGACUUGGGUGACAAGUGUAGUGAUCGUCUGAUCUCACUUCGAAUCCCGUCGGGAGAGGCUCACAAAAACGAUCUUGAUUUCCAUCUUGACCUCGAAUCAGGUAGGAUUACCCGCUGA
rnacentral:misc_RNA from 1 species